GAUGAAGAACGUAGCGAAAUGCGAUACUUGGUGUGAAUUGCAGAAUCCCGUGAACCAUCGAGUCUUUGAACGCAAGUUGCGCCCGAAGCCAUUAGGCCGAGGGCACGCCUGCCUGGGCGUCACACGUCGUUGCCCCCCCAUCUACUCCUUCGGGAUUGCGGGGGGCGGGUGAUGGCCUCCCGUGCGCCUUGUCGCGCGGUUGGCAUAAAUGCCAAGUCCUCGGCGACGCACGCCACGACAAUCGGUGGUUGCGAAACCUCGGUUGCCCGUCGUGUGCGGUCGUCGCGCAUCGAGGGCUCGAAAAAAUUGUCGGGCUCCGGCUCGGCUUUCAACGCGACCCCAGGUCAGGCGGGGUUACCCGCUGAAUUUAAGCAUAUCAAUAAGCGGAGGA
rnacentral:misc_RNA from 1 species